rnacentral:rRNA from 1 species
GAUGAACGCUAGCGGCAGGCCUAAUACAUGCAAGCCGAACGGCAAGAUUUCAGCAAUGGAAAUCCUAGAGUGGCGUAAGGGUGCGUAACACGUAUGCAAUCUGCCCUCAACAGGAGGAUAGCUCCCCGAAAGGGGAAUUAAGACUCCAUAAGAUCUUAGAGUGGCAUCACUUAGAGAUUAAACUACCAGGGGUUGAGGAUGAGCAUGCGCAUGAUUAGUUAGUUGGCGGGGUAACGGCCCACCAAGACGAUGAUCAUUAGGGGAACUGAGAGGUUGA